rnacentral:rRNA from 1 species
AUGUCGUCCUUCACGGGCGUGUCUGUCGCCGACGGCAACAACCAGUCCAUCUGCGAGACGUCGGCCGUGGACGCCAGCGGGGACAGCGGGUACCACCUGUUCAUGGUCAAGGCCUACUCGCGCAUCAAAGACCUCCUGUCCAUGGGCGAGUGCGUCGCCUCUGGUUCUUUCACAAUAGGAGGCCAUGAUUGGUUAAUCGAGUACUACCCUAACGGCGACAACCCGCACUGCGCCGGCUUCAUUUCGCUCUUUCUAACCCUUCUCGACACCGAUGUCGAUGUUGACGGAGAUGUUGAAGAGGCCGUGGAGGCAAAGUUCAGUUUUAGUCUCAUCGACCAGGUUGAGAAGCAGAUGCCAAUGUACGUCCGUGGAACCUGUGAGACCCGCAGCUUCUCCGGCAGCGCGCCAACCUGGGGCAAUGGCAGGUUUGUGAGAACAGAUACCCUUGAACGGUCAGCGGAUCUCAGGUCUGAUUGUUUCACUAUCCGGUGUGACGUCGUGGUUUGUAACACCAAGGAUGAUGAUGCCGGUGGCACCGAGGCUCUCCCGUCGGACAUACACCAACAUUUUAGCGCUCUCCUUCAGAAUAAGGUGGGUGCCGAUGUGACGUUUCAGGUCGGCAGCGAGACCUUCGCCGCACACCGGUGUGUGCUCGCUGCCCGAUCCACGGUGUUCAUGGCACAGCUCUUUGGCCCCAUGAAGGAGGGCACUGCUUCAUCCAGCAGUGUCAUACAUAUCAAAGACAUGGAAGCAAAGGUGUUCAAGGCUUUGCUUAGCUUCGUCUACACAGACUCAUUCCCUGAGAUGUACGAGGAGAUCAUGGAGGAGAAUGCAAUGUCAGCAGCAGCCGAGGAACAAGGACAAGAAGUGGAAGAGGUGGAGGAUGAAACGGGGCUGCAAUGGCUGCUAGAUUUGCUUGUAGCAGCAGAUCGGUACGAUCUCCAGCGGCUCAAGUUCAUCUGUGAAAAGCAGCUGUCUCAGCGCAUAGGUGUGAGCUCGGUGGCAUCAGUUCUUGCUCUAGCCGAGCAGCACCACUGCCAUGGAUUGAAGGUGGCGUGCUUGAAGUUUAUACAAGCCCAAUCUCCCUCGUGUUUGCAAACAGUAAUGGCGACUGAUGGUUGGGAUCAUGUAUAUACGACAUAUCCGUCUCUUGUGAACGGGUUCAUUGCCAAGCUUAUUAAAUCGAACCAGAAGUAA